rnacentral:rRNA from 1 species
UACGAAGGGGGCUAGCGUUGCUCGGAAUUACUGGGCGUAAAGGGCGCGUAGGCGGCGCGGUAAGUCACUUGUGAAAUCUCUGAGCUUAACUCAGAACGGCCAAGUGAUACUGCAGUGCUAGAGUGUGGAAGGGGCAAUCGGAAUUCUUGGUGUAGCGGUGAAAUGCGUAGAUAUCAAGAGGAACACCUGAGGUGAAGACGGGUUGCUGGGCCAACACUGACGCUGAUGCGCGAAAGCCAGGGGAGCAAACGGG